AUGAAGGUCAAGCUGUGCAGUUUCAGCAGGUACAAGAUCUACCCCGGACACAGGAGGCCCUAUGCCAGGACCGACGGGAAGGUUUUCCAAUUUCUUAAUGCAAAAUGCAAGUUGGCGUUCCAUUCCAAGAGGAAUCCUCAGCAGAUAAACUGGACUGUCCUCUACAGAAGAAAGCACAAAAAGGGACAGUUGGAAGAAAUUCAAAAGAAAAGAACGCGCCGAGCAGUCAAAUUCAGAGGGCCAUUACUGGUGCAUCUCUUGCUGAUAUAAUAGCCAAGAGGAAUCAGAAAACUGAAGUUAGAAAUGCUCAACGAGAAAAAGGAAAAAAAAAAAUGAGAAAAAGCUAUCAGGGCUGCCAAGGAAGCAAAAAAGGCUAAGCAAGCAUCUAAAAAGACUGCAAUGGCUGCUGCUAAGGCAGCUACAAAGGCAGCACCUAAGCAAAAGACUGUGAAGCCUGUGAAAGUUUCAGCUCCCCGAGUUGGUGGAAAACGCUAAGCUGGCAGAUUAGAUUUUUAAAUAAAGAUUGGAUUA